rnacentral:rRNA from 1 species
UUCCGUAGGUGAACCUGCGGAAGGAUCAUUACCGAGUUUUCGGGCUUCGGCUCGACUCUCCCACCCUUUGUGAACGUACCUCUGUUGCUUUGGCGGCUCCGGCCGCCAAAGGACCUCCAAACUCCAGUCAGUAAACGCAGACGUCUGAUAAACAAGUUAAUAAACUAAAACUUUCAACAACGGAUCUCUUGGUUCUGGCAUCGAUGAAGAACGCAGCGAAAUGCGAUAAGUAAUGUGAAUUGCAGAAUUCAGUGAAUCAUCGAAUCUUUGAACGCACAUUGCGCCCCUUGGUAUUCCGGGGGGCAUGCCUGUUCGAGCGUCAUUACAACCCUCAAGCUCUGCUUGGAAUUGGGCACCGUCCUCACUGCGGACGCGCCUCAAAGACCUCGGCGGUGGCUGUUCAGCCCUCAAGCGUAGUAGAAUACACCUCGCUUUGGAGUGGUUGGCGUCGCCCGCCGGACGAACCUUCUGAACUUUUCUCAAGGUUGACCUCGGAUCAGGUAGGGAUACCCGCUGAACUUAAGCAUAUCAAUAAGCGGAGGA